rnacentral:rRNA from 1 species
UACGUAGGGGGCUAGCGUUGUCCGGAAUCAUUGGGCGUAAAGAGCGUGUAGGCGGCUCGGUAAGUCCGCUGUGAAAGUCCAGGGCUCAACCCUGGAAUGCCAGUGGAAACUGUCGAGCUAGAGUCCGGAAGAGGCGAGUGGAAUUCCUGGUGUAGCGGUGAAAUGCGCAGAUAUCAGGAGGAACACCAAUGGCGAAGGCAGCUCGCUGGGACGGUACUGACGCUGAGGUGCGAAAGCGUGGGGAGCAAACAGG